rnacentral:rRNA from 1 species
AGGACGAACGCUGGCGGCGUGCUUAACACAUGCAAGUCGAGCGGAAAGGCCCUUUCGGGGGUACUCGAGCGGCGAACGGGUGAGUAACACGUGAGUAACCUGCCCUUGGCUUUGGGAUAACCCUCGGAAACGGGGGCUAAUACCGAAUAUUCACUGCUCCUCGCAUGGGGGGUGGUGGAAAGAUUUUUUGGCUGGGGAUGGGCUCGCGGCCUAUCAGCUUGUUGGUGGGGUGAUGGCCUACCAAGGCGACGACGGGUAGCCGGCCUGAGAGGGCGACCGGCCACACUGGGACUGAGACACGGCCCAGACUCCUACGGGAGGCAGCAGUGGGAAUAUUGGACAAUGGGCGCAAGCCUGAUCCAGCCAUGCCGCGUGGGUGAUGAAGGCCCUAGGGUUGUAAAGCCCUUUCGGCGGGGAAGAUAAUGACGGUACCCGCAGAAGAAGCCCCGGCUAACUUCGCGCCAGCAGCCGC